GGAUACCCAGACACCCUCCCCGGCACACGGCCCUGCGCCUAAAAUGUCCACCCGUCUCCCUCCCGCUAGCCUUUGCCCCCGGCCCCCAAGAAGAACCAGGCAGCCCUCUCUGUAUCCUCGGCCACAGCAAAGAACAUCUCGGCUGGAGCGCGCUGACCGCGAUGCCGGGGCGGCGGGGCGGGGGGUACGGGUGGGGUUUUGAACUGUGCAGCUGGGGAGCAGAGUUUUCCGAGAGAGGCAGAGUGACACGGAUUUCCUUGUAGAGCCGCGCUGGCUCUUCGCGGCCUCGUGCAGGCUUUCUCCAGCUGCGGCCAGCAGCGGCUCCUCUCUGCUUGCAGCACGUGGGCUUCUCAUCGCAGUGGCACCUUUUGUUGUGGCGUGAGGGCUCUAGGUGCCCCAUGGCACGUGGGCUCUUACUGGACCAGGGAUCAAACUAGCGUCCCCUGCAUUCCAAGGUGGACGCUAAACCUCUGGACCCCCAGGGAAGCCCUCAACAGGGUUCACCUCCUUCCAGUUUGCUGAUGCCCUUCGGAGAACACCCAGCCUUUUAACACAGCUCUUCAGGCUCUGUGGAGCUGAGCCGGCCGGCCUCGGACAGGUCUCUUCUCCACCACCCACCUCCCAUCCCAUCCCACUCCAAUACGAGCUUUUCUGCAGCUCUCUGUCUGUAGCUGAAACCUCUUCUCUUCACCCCGACCGCCCUUGCUUCUAAUAUACGUUUCAGCGAUGCACCCUGGAAACUCCUGACACUUCUGCUAAACCUGAGGGCAGGCACAGUCUGCUUUCCUCACCAUUGACCCUUCCCAGCACAACCCCCGCUGAGGACCUGAGGAACGCCCGCGGACCGGCGCCAGCGGGCGGACUCCCGUGGGCGGACGGCGCCACCUGCUGGCCCACACCGGCACUGCAGCACCUGGACGCGGGCUCUCAGCCCACCCUGGAGACAGGGUAACUGAGCUGGUGCCGGCCAUAAAGAUUCUGCCUGCCAGUGCACGAGAUGGAAGAGACGAAGGUUCGAUCCCUGGGUUGGAUGAUCCCUUGACAAAGGGCAUGGCACCCACUCGUCUCCUUGCCUGGAGAAGCCCGUGGACAGAGGAGCCUGGUGAGCUGCAGUCCAUGGGGUCGCCAAGAGUCGGACAUGAGAGCACGCACUCAGCUGAGGCACAGAGCAGUCAGAUGCCUCCCCAGGAGCACACAGACUGAAACUUUCACCCCAGGCGGUCUGACCUGAACCUGGACUGUUUUUUCCCGGAUGCUCCGUGCAGUCUGUGGGACGCUAGUUAUCCAACAGGAAAUGAACCUGGGCCCUUGGCAGUGAAGGUGACACGACCCAAGCACCGGGCGGCCAGGGAGCUCCCUGAGCCUGUCCUCUGUAAGCCUGUCAUGCGCUGCCUCUACUUGUCCUGCACGCCCAGGGGCCCGGUGAGGUUACGUGCCGGACGCCAGCCUCUGCUACCACAGUGGCAUUGGGGUCACCGAAGCUCCCAGUGCAGCGAGCCGCCCUGAGCCGCAGUUCUCCAAGGGCUCCGUCAGGACAGGAGUCACUGCGGCCUCUCCUGUGCGUGUAGAGGUCCAUCCUGGCCUCCAGGCUACUGCUCCUCUCCUGUGACCCAGAAACCACCACCUCUCAGAGCCCCCGUUUCCUAAGAGGGCCUCUAGCCUGCUGGGUGGAUCGGACCACAGAUCCCACCAACGGUGAGGAGUGCGGGUCCCAGUGCGGACUCAGGUGGACCCCAGAUGGCUAAUGGCGGUUAUCACUCAGGCCCUCCCCUGGAUCACACACACCGUGCGUGACGCUGGGUCCCUUCACAUGUUCCGCUGUGGCUGUUUAGAACCAAGACACGUCGUGGCUACUUAAGUCCCAUCUCCUUUCCACCCGCUCCUCUAAAUCAUUUCUUUUCCAUCAUUUGGGAAAAUGAUGUGCCGGCCUGCACUUCAGUUGUUAAACAUAAAAAGCUGGGCUUCCCUGGUGGUACAGUGGUGAAGAAGCCACCCACCAAUGCAGGAGACACAGGUUUGAUCCCUGGUCCAGGAAGAUUCCACCUGCCGCGGAGCAACUGGGACCGCGAGCUGCAGCCGCUGAAGCCCCCGUGCCUACAGCCUGUGCUCCGCAACGAGCCCCGCACACCGCAACCAGAGAGAGCCCGCUCCCAGCAACGAGAGCCCUGCACACCGCAACCAGAGAGAGCCCGCUCCCAGCAACGAGAGCCCCGCACACCGCAACCAGAGAGAGCCCACUCCCGGCAACGAGAGCCCUGCACACCGCAACCAGAGAGAGCCCACUCCCAGCAACGAGAGCCCCGCACACCGCAACCAGAGAGAGCCCGCUCCCAGCAACGAAGACCCAGCGCAUCCAAACCAAACAAAGCAUACGCUUGUUACAAAAAAAGAAGUAUCUUGGGAACCUUCUGUGGCCCAGCCAUUACUGUAAGUGGUUUAUUCACGUUAACUCACUUUACCUUCACCCAGCCCUAUGACUGUCCCCCAACUUUACAGAUAAGGAAGCCAAGCAUGGUGAGGUCAGGGUCACACAGCGAGCGGCUGACGGGGACUGCCCACUUAAGCCACAGGACCGGUCUCUGCUUUUAAACACGUCAGACUCCCUCUGCUGGUAGAGGCUGUGUCUGCCGCCUUCACUCCCAAGUGCCAGGCACACUGCUUUGCACACUGUGGGUGUCAACAAAUUUGUUUUAAUAUAUAAUAUAUAUAUAUACACACAGUCACGGGCCCGCCUGGGAAAGGGCUCCAUCAUACUCCAGCUCCUGGAGACUCUCCAGAAGGAGUCCAGGCCUGGCAGUCUUCACAGAUGACGCCCAGCGAGGGGCAUGUUUAGUAGACAGGUGGGGAGGGAGGGGGAGCACCUUAGGUGUGCUGCUGCGCCUCAUGCAGGCCCAGAACUCUGCUGCGCCCUCUUCAUCAGCUCCUCAUCCUGCAUAGACAGCUCUGUCAACUUCUUGCCCAUCCGCUCAUGGAUGUCCAGGUACUUGGAGACACAGCGGUCCAGGCACACGGACUCGCCCUUGGACAGCUCUGCUUCCUUGUAGUGGGGAGGCACGCACUUCCGGUGGCAGGCGCUGGUCAUUCUAGAAAGAAGGGCAAGGUCGGAUCAGCAGCCUGCUGUGGCAAACCUGGAACUCGCGACGACUCCUGCCCUGCUACCCUGAUCUCACCCGCCAGGAAGGCAGUGUGAACCCCCAAUCUGCGCCUCCGCCGUCUUGGGAGGCCCUUGUCUGAGCCCAUGGUCACCCUGUGUUUCUGACUCAUCAGACAGGAACCGUUAGCUGAGUAUUGGCUACGUUCCGGACAUCACACUAAGCGCGUGACGUGGAUUCUGCCACGCAGUCCUUAGGAUGACUCUAUGCAGUCAGCACGAUCGUUACCCUCUUUUUACAGAUGAGGGAGUGAAGGAACAGGGAGCCUCAGGAUCACAUAAAGCUGGGCUACGACCCCAGGGAGCCUGACUGGGGGCUUCCUGGGGGCGCAGUGGUAAAGAACCCGCCUGCCAAUGCAGGAGACGUAAGAGACGUGGGUUCAAUCCCUGGGCGGGGAACAGCACCUGGAACAGGGCAUGGCAACCCACUCCAGUGUUCUUGCCUCGAGAAUCCCACAGACAGAGGAGCCUGAUGGGCUACAGUCCAUGAGGUCGCAGACUUGGACAAGGCCAAAGCAGCUUACACGCAUGCAUGAAGCCUGACUUCACAGCUUACUUUAGAAAAUUAUUCUCACAUAUAGCCUUCGAGACAAACCCAACUAAUCAAAGGAGGAUACCAGAGAGUUUUAGCCAAUAAAAAUAGCAAAUAAUUGUUGACUGCC